rnacentral:misc_RNA from 1 species
AGCCUGAGGAGGGGUCUGUUGGUAACUUUUCAAAAUAAUGGGAAAUUACAUGACUUAGAUAGGUCAUUGAUUCUGAGACCUAUGUUCUUAAAGAUUCUCUGAAAGGUUGAAUCUCUGGUUAUAAGCUCUCAGGACUUUUCCUUUUCUGGCCCAUAAGGUCUAAGGGUUUUCAAGGAAAACAUAUGGGCAUUUCCAUAGACUAAUCCUGUUGCAUAAACAUUAAAUUUAGGGUGGAAAAAGAACAGAAUAUUUUCAAUAGCUUUGAAUUCCUGGAACCUAUGUUAUUGAGCGAGUACUCAACUAUUGGGCUAUUGGAUCUCAGGGGAAAACAGUCUCUGUUAGCCAAAAACAUUAGCUUAAACAGAAGGCACCACAAGUUACAAAUUAGGACAGACUAUUUAGUAAAUAAUUAAAUUUAAGAUCACUAGCUUCUGUAACAACAAAUUAUAUUUUUAUAGCAGAAAGAAAUUUUGGAGUUGACAAGGAUAAACAGGACGACAUAGUAUCCCUUCAAACGGUCUCCCUCUCUCUUCCCCUAUUCAGGACACGUAUCACAACUGUAUUUUUGUGACAUAAACGCCAUGUCGUCCAGAGAAAAUGGACCACUAUUUAACUGUCCACGAUUUCGUUUAUGUGCCACAAGUCCAAUAUAAUCUGUCACUGCUUCUUGCUUUUAUGAACGUAGAAUGACAGAGAUAAUACACUCAAGCUCUUUCAGAAGUUUUUUGUAACCUUAUUCAUGAAUUUUUUUUUACAUUCCUCAAAUAUUACAAUUGGUAUAGAUAUUAUUCCACACAUGCGGAAUCAAACAUGAAAAGUUACUUCAAAAGAAACAGCUAAAUGCAAAAUAAAACAAAAAUAAAUUCCUGAUUGCUCACCAAAUUUCUAAGUCUUUUUGUACAACCAAUUCAGGCUACCAGAGAAGCAGCAUGCUUGUAGCUCUGAUUUUUCUGUGAAUAGCUUCUAGAAUUUUCCACAGCCACGCCUUGUGCACCAAAACAAAAAUACUGGUUCAUCAACUUCUUAUUCAAGGAUGGAUGUCCAUGCUUCAAAGAUGGAUUCAAACUCGAGGGUCCUGCAAUAUUGAUACGCUUUUCUUUAUCCAGUGAAACAGGUGAAGCCAUGGAUGAUAGUGAAACAGGACUUGAAGGUGAUUCAACUGAAGCAGCUAAAUCUGGCAUUGCUUGAAUAACACCAUGUGUUAGCCCUGCAGUAAAUUUCUUUCUGGUUAAUGGACUUGGAAGACUACUCCUGAAAGAAAACAUCCUUUCGUUGCUUGAAAGGCAUGCCAAUUUUGAGUAUCUCUGCCUAAGUGGAAUCGGACGGUCUUCCAAACUUCUUGAUAAACUAAAUGAGUCUAAAGAAUCAU